GCCUGAGCUUGGCUGUGAGGAACAAGUUGUGCAGCAGGAGGCUGCUGCCACACUGCAACAGGUUGCCCAGGGAGGGAGCUGAGUGCCCAUGGCUGGAGCUGUUGGAGACUGACCAGAAGAGCACCACAGCAGCUGUGCUGUUCAGGAGGCUGGGGCAGAGCCCCUCGAAGGCAGAGCAGCUCCAAGCAAUCAGGAGCUGCUCUCUGCGUGCAUCCUCAGAGGCCAAGGACAGAUCUGCUCACAGACUCACCUCAGGAGGCCCUGGCAGGCAGUUCUGUCCCUUGCCUGAACGCUGCUCCGUGCUGAAGCCUGGCAGCCUGCAGAGCCCUCAAGUGAAAGCAGCUCUUGAAAUAAGACUUCACUGGAAGUAAAAG